rnacentral:ncRNA from 2 species
AAACGUCUUCAGGGGCAGGGUGAAAUUCCCGACCGGUGGUAAAGUCCACGAACAAACUAGCUUAGUUUGUAGAACUGGUGUAAUUCCAGUACCGACAGUAAAGUCUGGAUAAAGGAGAUUAUU